GACGUAGGGCGCGAGCGUUGUCCGGAUUUAUUGGGCGUAAAGAGCUCGUAGGCGGCUUGUCGCGUCGACCGUGAAAACUCGCAGCUCAACUGCGAGCCUGCGGUCGAUACGGGCAGGCUAGAGUUCGGUAGGGGAGACUGGAAUUCCUGGUGUAGCGGUGAAAUGCGCAGAUAUCAGGAGGAACACCGGUGGCGAAGGCGGUGGUCUGGGCCGGCAUUGACGCUGAGGAGCGAAAGCGUGGGGAGCGAACAGG
rnacentral:rRNA from 1 species